rnacentral:rRNA from 1 species
AACGAACGCUGGCGGCAGGCUUAACACAUGCAAGGCGAGCGCCCUGCAAGGGGAGCGGCAGACGGGUGAGUAACGCGUGGGAAUCUACCUAGUUCUACGGAACAACACAGGGAAACUUGUGCUAAUACCGUAUACGCCCUACGGGGGAAAGAUUUAUCGGAAUUAGAUGAGCCCGCGUAAGAUUAGCUAGUUGGUGGGGUAAUGGCCUACCAAGGCGACGAUCUUUAGCUGGUCUGAGAGGAUGAUCAGCCACACUGGGACUGAGACCCGGCCCAGACUCCUGCGGGAGGCAGCAGUGGGGAAUAUUGGACAAUGGGCGAAAGCCUGAUCCAGCCAUGCCGCGUGAGUGAUGACGGCCCUAGGGUUGUAAAGCUCUUUCGCAGGUGAAGAUAAUGACGGUAACCUGAGAAGAAGCCCCGGCUAACUUCGUGCCAGCAGCCGCCGUAAGAC